AGAGUUUGAUCCUGGCUCAGAACGAACGCUGGCGGCAGGCUUAACACAUGCAAGUUGAACGGGAUUUGUGUGGUGCUUGCACCAUAUAAUGAGAGUAGCGCACUGGUGAGUAACACGUGGGAACGUACCUUUUGGUGGGGGACAACAUCUGGAAACGGAUGCUAAUACCGCAUAAGACCUGAGGGUGAAAGAUUUAUCGCCGAAAGAACGGCCCGCGGAAGAUUAGGCAGUUGGUGGGGUAAAGGCCUACCAAACCUACGAUCUAUAGCUGGUCUGAGAGGACGAUCAGCCACACUGGAACUGAGACACGGUCCAGACUCCUACGGGAGGCAGCAGUGAGGAAUAUUGGGCAAUGGAGGCAACUCUGACCCAGCCAUGCCGCGUGAGUGAAGAAGGUUUUCGGAUUGUAAAGCUCUUUCGGAUGUGACGAUGAUGACGGUAGCAUCUAAAGAAGCCCCGGCUAACUUCGUGCCAGCAGCCGCGGUAAUACGAAGGGGGCGAGCGUUGUUCGGAAUUACUGGGCGUAAAGGGUGUGUAGGCGGUUAUGUAAGAUAGCGGUGAAAUCCCGGGGCUUAACCUCGGAAUAGCCGUUAUAACUAUGUAGCUAGAGUUAUGGAGAGGAUAGCGGAAUACCCAGUGUAGAGGUGAAAUUCGUAGAUAUUGGGUAGAACACCGGUGGCGAAGGCGGCUAUCUGGCCAUAUACUGACGCUGAGGCACGAAAGCAUGGGGAUCAAACAGGAUUAGAUACCCUGGUAGUCCAUGCUGUAAACGAUGAAUGCUGGUUGUCGGCUUUAGGGUCGGUGACGAAGUUAACGCGAUAAGCAUUCCGCCUGGGGAGUACGGUCGCAAGAUUAAAAC
rnacentral:rRNA from 1 species